CCUACGGGAGGCUGCAGUCGAGAAUCAUUCACAAUGGGGGAAACCCUGAUGGUGCGACGCCGCGUGGGGGAAUGAAGGUCUUCGGAUUGUAAACCCCUGUCAUGUGGGAGCAAAUUAAAAAGAUAGUACCACAAGAGGAAGAGACGGCUAACUCUGUGCCAGCAACCGCGGUCAUACAGAGGUCUCAAGCGUUGUUCGGAAUCACUGGGCGUAAAGCGUGCGUAGGCUGUUUCGUAAGUCGUGUGUGAAAGGCGCGGGCUCAACCCGCGGACGGCACAUGAUACUGCGAGACUAGAGUAAUGGAGGGGGAAGCGGAAUUCUAGGUGUAGCAGUGAAAUGCGUAGAUAUCGGGAGGAACACUCGUGGCGAAGGCGGGUUCCUGGAAAUUAACUGACGCUGAGGCACGAAGGCCAGGGGAGCGAAAGGGAUUAGAUACCCGGGUAGUC
rnacentral:rRNA from 1 species